CCUACGUGAGGCUGCAGUGAGGAAUAUUGGUCAAUGGGCGCGAGCCUGAACCAGCCAAGUCGCGUGAGGGACGACGGUCCUAUGGAUUGUAAACCUCUUUUGUCGGGGAGCAAAAGACGCCACGCGUGGCGUUCCGAGAGUACCCGAAGAAAAAGCAUCGGCUAACUCCGUGCCAGCAGCCGCGGUAAUACGGAGGAUGCGAGCGUUAUCCGGAUUUAUUGGGUUUAAAGGGUGCGCAGGCGGAAAGUCAAGUCAGCGGUAAAAAUGCGAGGCUCAACCCCGUCGAGCCGUUGAAACUGGUUGUCUUGAGUGGGCGAGAAGUAUGCGGAAUGCGUGGUGUAGCGGUGAAAUGCAUAGAUAUCACGCAGAACUCCGAUUGCGAAGGCAGCAUACCGGCGCUCAACUGACGCUGAUGCACGAAAGUGUGGGUAUCGAACAGGAUUAGAUACCCGAGUAGUC
rnacentral:rRNA from 1 species